rnacentral:rRNA from 1 species
GAUGAACGCUGGCGGCGUGCCUAAUACAUGCAAGUCGAGCGAACAGACGAGGAUUUUGCUCCUCUGUCGUUAGCGGCGGACGGGUGCGUAACAUGUGGAUAACGUACUUAUAAGACUGGGAUAUCUUCGGGAAACCGGCGCUAAUACCGUAUAAUAUAUUGAUCCGCAUGGUUCAAUAGUGAAAGACGGUUUUGCUGUCACUUAUAGAUGUAUCCACGCCGCAUUAGCUAGUUGGUAAGGUUACGGCUUACCAAGGCAACGAUGCGUAGCCGAACUGAGAGGGUGAUAGGCCACACGAGAACUGAGACACGGACCAUACUGCUACGAGAGGCAGCAGAAGGGAAUCUUAGGCAGAGGGCGAAAACAUGACAGAGCAACGCCGAGUGGGAGAUGAAGGUCUUCGGAUCGUGAAACUCUGCUAUUAGGGAAAAACAAAUGUGUAAGUAACUAAGGACGUCUUGACGGUACCUAAUCAGGAAGCCACGGCUAACUACGUG